rnacentral:rRNA from 1 species
UACAGAGGUCCCAAGCGUUGUUCGGAUUCACUGGGCGUAAAGGGUGCGUAGGCGGUCGGGUAAGUCUGAUGUGAAAUCUCAGAGCUCAACUCUGAAACUGCAUUGGAUACUAUUCGGCUUGAGGUCUGGAGGGGGGACUGGAAUUCUCGGUGUAGCAGUGAAAUGCGUAGAUAUCAAGAGGAACACCAGUGGCGAAGGCGAGUCCCUGGACAACACCUGACACUGAGGCACGAAAGCUAGGGGAGCAAACAGG